GACGAACGCUGGCGGCGUGCCUAAUACAUGCAAGUAGGACGCAGUUGCGAACGGGAGAGUAACGCGUCGGUAACUGCCUAUUAGAGGGGGAUAACUACUGGAAACGAUAGCUAAUACCGCAUACUAGUAGAUGGACCUGCGUUGUAUUAGCUAGUAGGUUGGGUAAUGGCCUACCUAGGCAACGAUAAAUAACCGACCUGAGAGGGUGAUCGGGCAAACUGGGACUGAGACACGGCCCAGACGCCUACGGGAGGCAGCAGUAGGGAAUCGUCGGCAAUGGGGGGAACCAUGACCGAGCAACGCCGCGUGAGUGAAGAAGGUAUUCGGAUCGUAAAGCUCUGUUGUUAAGGAAGCGGUACUUAACCAGAAAGGGACGGCUAACUACGUGCCAGCAGCCGCGGUAAUAC
rnacentral:rRNA from 1 species